rnacentral:rRNA from 1 species
AUUGAACGCUGGCGGCAUGCUUUACACAUGCAAGUCGAACGGUAACAGGCCUUCGGGUGCUGACGAGUGUCGGACGGGGGAGUAAUGCAUCGGCACGUACCCAGUGGCUGGGGGUAUCGCAGCGAAAGCUGUGCUAAUACCGCAUGUGAUCUGAUGUUGAGAGCGGGGGACCGCACAGCAAUGUUUCGCCUCUCGCCUUUCGAACGGCCGAUUCCGCGUUGGAUAAGCUAGUUGGUAAGGUAAAGGCUUACCAAGGCGACGAUGCGUAGCCGAUCUGAGAGGGUGACCAGCCACACUGGAACUGAGACACGGCCCAGACUCCUACGGGAGGCAGCAGUAGGGAAUUUUGCGCAAUGGGCGCAAGCCUGAUCCAGCAAUGCCGCGUGCGGGAAGAAGGCCUUCGGGUUGUAAACCGCUGUUAGCAGGAAAGAAACGGUGUCCGCUAAUACCGGGCGCUAAUGACGGUACCUGAAGAAUAAGCACCGGCUAACUACGUG